GACGAACGCUGGCGGCGUGCUUAACACAUGCAAGUCGAACGAACAGGCCACUUUCGGGGGGUACUCGCGUGGCGAACGGGUGAGUAACACGUGAGUAACCUGCCCUUGACUAAGGGUUAACUUCCUGCAACUAGGGGUAGUACCGGAUAGAAGAUCCUGCUGCAUGGAGGGGGCUGGAAAGUUUCGGGGGUUUGGGGUGGACUCGCGGGUUAUCCGCUUGUUGGUGGGGUAGUGGCUUACCAAGGCUUUGACGGGUAGACGGCCUGAGGGGGUGAUCGGCGACAUUGGGUCUGAGAUACGGCCCAGGCUCCGACGGGAGGCAGCAGGGGGGAAGACUGCAGGAGGGGUGGAAGCCUGAUGCAGCAGGGCCGUGGGCGGGAUGACGGCGUUCGGGUUGUAGAACGAAUGUGCUCAUGACGAAGCUCUGCGUGACGGUAGUGGGUAAAGAAGCACCGGCUAACUACGUG
rnacentral:rRNA from 1 species